ACCGGCGACCAAAGAGGAGGGGCAACACCCGUACCCAUUCCGAACACGGAAGUUAAGUCCUCCAUCGAUCUGUGUCGUACUGCCUUGCGGCGGGAUUCACAGGACGUUGCCGGAC
rnacentral:rRNA from 2 species